rnacentral:rRNA from 1 species
GCCUACGGGGGGCAGCAGUGAGGAAUAUUGGUCAAUGGUCGGGAGACUGAACCAGCCAAGCCGCGUGAGGGAUGAAGGUACAGAGUAUCGUAAACCUCUUUUGUCAGGGAACAAAGGCGGGGACGUGUCCCCGGAUGAGUGUACCUGAAGAAGAAGCAUCGGCUAACUCCGUGCCAGCAGCCGCGGUAAUACGGAGGAUGCGAGCGUUAUCCGGAUUUAUUGGGUUUAAAGGGUGCGCAGGCGGUCUGUUAAGUCAGCGGUCAAAGCCCGGGGCUCAACCCCGGCCCGCCGUUGAAACUGGCAGG